rnacentral:lncRNA from 1 species
CCCGCCGGCCCUGUAGGACCCAGGGGGAUCCACAGCCCAGUUCCCAUUGAUGAUGGACCGGCCCCCAGGGCCACGAAGUGCUGCGGGUCAGAGACUCCACAGCCAUCAGGACGCCUGCCAGAGCCAAGGAUCCCAUCACAGCCGGGGCUCUGGAGAGAGUGAGGUGAGGCAGUGGCCACAGAACGCCAGACACCACCUCAACCCCACCCCGGUCCCCUCGGGAGCCUCAGCUCACUACCCUGCUUUUUGUGCCACAAGUGAGAGCACAAAAACAGCCCCACCAUCCCCAGCCAGACCCAGGGACAUGGACAGGUGCCCGAUCAGAUCCUUCAGGCUCUGCUCAGCGCAGCUUGGCAGACCACUCACCACCUGUGCUGUCUCCUGACCCAGCCCCAGGGAGAAGAAAGAAGGCAUGGCGCAGGGGAAGCAGAGGGGCUGGAAGUCAUUCAGGGCUGGGAGUAAGCAGGUGUCUGAAGAGAGUGUCCGGACAACACCUAUAUAGAGAAAAAGGUCAGACAGAAUUGGAAGGAUUAGAGGGAACUGUCCAGAGUGUCCAUGUAGACCAACACUGAGGCUCACGGAGUCGCUACCAGUCCAAGGUCACAUUCAGCAGCAGAGGGAGAACUACACCUCGGCCUCUUGGUGUUAUGAGG